rnacentral:rRNA from 1 species
GACGAACCGUGCGAACGUUGUCCGGAAUUACUGGGCGUAAAGAGCUCGUAGGUGGUUUGUCGCGUUGUUCGUGAAAACUCACAGCUCAACUGUGGGCGUGCGGGCGAUACGGGCAGACUAGAGUACUGCAGGGGAGACUGGAAUUCCUGGUGUAGCGGUGGAAUGCGCAGAUAUCAGGAGGAACACCGGUGGCGAAGGCGGGUCUCUGGGCAGUAACUGACGCUGAGGAGCGAAAGCGUGGGGAGCGAACAGG